UACGGAGGGUGCGAGCGUUGUCCGGAAUCACUGGGCGUAAAGGGCGCGUAGGCGGCCUGGUAAGUAGGGGGUGAAAUCCUGCGGCUUAACCGCAGGGCUGCCUUCUAAACUGUCAGGCUCGAGCACGGUAGAGGCAGAUGGAAUUCCCGGUGUAGCGGUGGAAUGCGCAGAUAUCAGGAGGAACACCGGUGGCGAAGGCGGUUCUCUGGGCAUUACCUGACGCUGAGGAGCGAAAGCAUGGGGAGCGAACAGG
rnacentral:rRNA from 1 species